rnacentral:rRNA from 1 species
UGCAGUCGAACGGCAGCAUGAUCUAGCUUGCUAGAUUGAUGGCGAGUGGCGAACGGGUGAGUAAUACAUCGGAACGUGCCCUGUAGUGGGGGAUAACUAGUCGAAAGAUUAGCUAAUACCGCAUACGACCUGAGGGUGAAAGUGGGGGACCGCAAGGCCUCAUGCUAUAGGAGCGGCCGAUGUCUGAUUAGCUAGUUGGUGAGGUAAAGGCUCACCAAGGCGACGAUCAGUAGCUGGUCUGAGAGGACGAUCAGCCACACUGGGACUGAGACACGGCCCAGACUCCUACGGGAGGCAGCAGUGGGGAAUUUUGGACAAUGGGGGCAACCCUGAUCCAGCAAUGCCGCGUGUGUGAAGAAGGCCUUCGGGUUGUAAAGCACUUUUGUCCGGAAAGAAAUCGCACUUACUAAUAUUAGGUGUGGAUGACGGUACCGGAAGAAUAAGGACCGGCUAACUACGUGCCAGCAGCCGCGGUAAUACGUAGGGUCCAAGCGUUAAUCGGAAUUACUGGGCGUAAAGCGUGCGCAGGCGGUUGUGCAAGACCGAUGUGAAAUCCCCGGGCUUAACCUGGGAAUUGCAUUGGUGACUGCACGGCUAGAGUGUGUCAGAGGGGGGUAGAAUUCCACGUGUAGCAGUGAAAUGCGUAGAGAUGUGGAGGAAUACCGAUGGCGAAGGCAGCCCCCUGGGAUAACACUGACGCUCAUGCACGAAAGCGUGGGGAGCAAACAGGAUUAGAUACCCUGGUAGUCCACGCCCUAAACGAUGUCAACUAGUUGUUGGGGGAUUCAUUUCCUUAGUAACGUAGCUAACGCGUGAAGUUGACCGCCUGGGGGAGUACGGUCGCAAGAUUAAAACUCAAAGGAAUUGACGGGGACCCGCACAGCGGUGGAUAAAAUUGGGAUUUAAUUUCAAUGCAACGCGAAAAAACCUUACCUACCCUUGACAUGCCACUAACGAAGCAGAGAUGCAUUAGGUGCUCGAAAAGAGAAAGUGGACACAGGUGCUGCAUGGCUGUCGUCGCUCGUGCCUGAGAAUUUUUGGGGUUAAGUCCCGCAACGAGCGCAACCCUUGUCUCUAGUUGCUACGAAAGGGCACUCUAA